CCUACGGUAGACAGCAGUGAGGAAUAUUGGUCAAUGGACGAGAGUCUGAACCAGCCAAGUAGCGUGAAGGAUGACUGCCCUAUGGGUUGUAAACUUCUUUUAUAAAGGAAUAAAACGAGGCACGUGUGCCUUUUUGCAUGUACUUUAUGAAUAAGGAUCUGCUAACUCCGUGCCAGCAGCCGCGGUAAUACGGAGGAUCCGAGCGUUAUCCGGAUUUAUUGGGUUUAAAGGGAGCGUAGAUGGGUUGUUAAGUCAGUUGUGAAAGUUUGCGGCUCAACCGUAAAAUUGCAAUUGAUACUGGCAGUCUUGAGUACAGUUGAGGUAAGCGGAAUUCGUGGUGUAGCGGUGAAAUGCUUAGAUAUCACGAAGAACCACGAUUGCGAAGGCAGCUUACUAAACUGUGACUGACAUUGAUGCUCGAAAGUGUGGGUAUCAAACAGGAUUAGAUACCCUUGUAGUC
rnacentral:rRNA from 1 species